rnacentral:rRNA from 1 species
AGAACGAACGCUAGCGGGAUGCCUCAAACAUGCAAGUCGCACGAGAAUUUGGCUUCGGCCAAUAGUAAAGUGGCGCACGGGUGCGUAACACGUAGCUAACCUCCCCCUUCGCUGGGGACAACAUCGGGAAACCGAUGCUAAUACCGAAUAAUCUGUUGGAGUCUGCGGACUUCACCGGUAAAGCCGUAAGGCGCGAAGGGAUGGGGCUGCGGUCUAUUAGCUAGUUGGUGGGGUAAUGGCCCACCAAGGCUACGAUAGAUAGCUGGUCUGAGAGGAUGAUCAGCCACACUGGAACUGAAACACGGUCCAGACUCCCACGGGAGGCAGCAGUUGGGAAUAUUGGACAAUGGGAGCAAUCCUGAUCCAGCAAUCCCGCGUGAGUGAUGAAGGCCUUCGGGUCGUAAAGCUCGUUUAAGUAGGGAAGAACACAAUGACGGUACCUACAGAAUAAGCACCGGCUAACUCUGCGCCAGCAGCCGCGGU